AUACGGAGGGUGCAAGCGUUAAUCGGAAUUACUGGGCGUAAAGCGCGCGUAGGCGGUUAUUUAAGUCAGAUGUGAAAGCCCUGGGCUCAACCUAGGAACUGCAUCUGAUACUGGGUAACUAGAGUUUUGGAGAGGUAAGUGGAAUUUCCGGUGUAGCGGUGAAAUGCAUAGAGAUCGGAAGGAACACCAGUGGCGAAGGCGACUUACUGGCCAAAAACUGACGCUGAGGUGCGAAAGCGUGGGUAGCAAACAGGAUUAGAAACCCCUGUAGUCC
rnacentral:rRNA from 1 species